CAGAGAUCCAGGAGGUACUGAAAAAGGGACAAUGCUUCGACUGAAUGUGUCAUCCAUGUACCAGUAUAGACCUGUUAAUGAGGCAUAUCCAAUAAUUCUUAUACUCAUGAAGAGUGUGGCAACUCCCAAGUAGUUAAGGAUGGCACUCAUUUUAAAUCAGAUCCUCACUUCUAGGAUGUUUUCCAUGUUCUUGUGGAAAGUGUUUUACAUGGCACCAUUCAGCUACAAAUACUUUGCCAGUGGAACUGUGACAUCAAUCAGCUGCUCAUGCCACUGCUAAUUGGCAGAAUUUCCUUUGGGACAAGCAAACUGUUUCAAAUAUUUUACACCUGCAAGUUAGUACUUAUGAAAUUUUGUUUGAAGGAAGCUAAAAGCUAAUGAGUACUGAAAAUACAAGCCAGAUGAAGUACAAAAGUGUUGAUACAAGUCAUUUAGAAUUUUUAAUUCUUUGCAGGUAGUGAUGAGUGUACUGGAAGUUUUUUCGGGAUCUUGUCUGACAUCAUAGGUACAACUGGUCACUGUGCUUUCUUUGUUAUAUAAGCAGGCAUAUUGUUAAAGCAGUGACACAUGUAGCUUCAAAUGAUGCUUGACUGUUUAAGUGUUUUUCUUUGAUUUUAUAAGUAAACCUGGAUUGAUCUCUGAUGCAGUAAUAUAGAGCCAUGUCCAUUCUUUAAUAUUCCAUCAUCCCACUGUCACAAAGUACUGAAAUAAAAAUGAUUUUGAUUUUAAAAA